rnacentral:lncRNA from 1 species
GAUAUCACGUCACAGAAUCAAACUUGUAUAAGGCAUAAUUUGUCCCCAAAUAAAUGUUGCCACCUUAAAUCUUUUACAUUAACAAUAGCUAAAGUGGUAAAGAUAUGAUGCAAAAGUCUAGUUGAAGGCGUCGCUUUGAGUGGUUCUUGGGCUGAAACUUUAUUUCAUGUUAUGAUCUCGGAUCUGAGCGAAUAUACAAUAUAAACCCAAAACCUUUGAGUUAAUAAAAAAAAAAUCAAUUAAAGAUGUGCACUAAGUUAAGUAUAAUUUAUGAAACUAAAAACAAAUCUGUAAUAUUUUUAGAGUAUUAAGUUCUUGCAAAAACUUACAGGGAUCUGAAGCGGCUUGUACAUGUGGUCUUGUAUACUUUAUGAGAGAGCAUUGGUUGCAAAAUGCAAACUAUAAAUUGGACAAAGCACAUGGUCCUCGUUUUUAGCCUAGAGAUGGAGACAUUUGAGUAGUUUUCACAUCCGGCUAUCAUUCAAAAGACUCUUGUCCAACUCUUCCGUCUCACUAGUCUUCGAGGGAACUUGGCCAUAGUGGAUUUUUCGUGCGAGGAGUUUGUAUGGUUGUGGACACUAAGAGAUAAGGCGAGAGCAGAAUGAUCGUUGGACUACAUAUUUGACACCAAAAAAAAAGAAAAUGAAGUAGAGGACCACACUUUUGUUCUUAAAGCUGUCAUUUCAUGGCC